AGGAGCCGUGUGCAGGGAAACUCGCAAGCACGGUUUGGAAUUGGAGUUGGGGAAGGUGACUUCUCUUUCGACCAUAACAGUGUGUGGCAAAUUCGAGUUUUUUCAGGUUUAAUUUCUAAUCCUAC
rnacentral:ncRNA from 1 species